UUUGGAUUAAUACCCUAUAGUAUCAUUUAGAGUCAUCUCUUUAUGAUUAAAGGUUACGGUAUGAGAUGAGUAUGCGUUCUAUUAGUUAGUAGGUGAGGUAACGGCUCACCUAGACCACGAUAGAUAGGGGCCCUGAGAGGGGGAUCCCCCACACUGGUACUGAGACACGGACCAGACUCCUACGGGAGGCAGCAGUGAGGAAUAUUAGACAAUGGGCGAAAGCCUGAUCUAGCCAUGCCGCGUGCAGGAUGACGGCCCUAUGGGUUGUAAACUGCUUUUAUACAGGAAGAAAAAACUCUACGUGUAGAGUCUUGACGGUACUGUAAGAAUAAGGAUCGGCUAA
rnacentral:rRNA from 1 species